rnacentral:rRNA from 1 species
GCACAAGCAGCGGAGCGUGUGGUUUAAUUCGAUGCUACACGAAGAACCUUACCAGGGUUUGACAUGCAAGUGGUAGAACCGAAAGGCGACGACCCUUCGGGGAGCCUGCACAGGUGCUGCAUGGCUGUCGUCAGCUCGUGUCGUGAGAUGUUCGGUUAAGUCCGCUAACGAGCGCAACCCUCGCUGUGUGUUACAAGUGUCACACGGUACUGCCGGUCUUAAGCCGGAGGAAGGUGGGGAUGACGUCAAGUCAGCAUGGCCUUUAUGUCCUGGGCUACACACACGCUACAAUGGCCAACACAAUAGGUUGCUAAGCCGCGAGGUGGGGCCAAUCCUCAAAGUUGGUCUCAGUUCAGAUUGCAGGCUGCAACCCGCCUGCAUGAAGUCGGAAUCGCUAGUAAUCGCAGGUCAGCAUACUGCGGUGAAUACGUUCCCGGGCCUU